AGAGUUUGAUCCUGGCUCAGAUUGAACGCUGGCGGCAUGCCUUACACAUGCAAGUCGAACGGCAGCACGGGAGCAAUCAUGGUGGCGAGUGGCGAACGGGUGAGUAAUACAUCGGAACGUGCCCAGUCGUGGGGGAUAACGUAGCGAAAGCUACGCUAAUACCGCAUACGAUCUGUGGAUGAAAGCGGGGGACCGUAAGGCCUCGCGCGAUUGGAGCGGCCGAUGUCAGAUUAGGUAGUUGGUGGGGUAAAGGCCUACCAAGCCGACGAUCUGUAGCUGGUCUGAGAGGACGACCAGCCACACUGGACUGAGACACGGCCCAGACUCCUACGGGAGGCAGCAGUGGGGAAUUUUGGACAAUGGGCGCAAGUCUGAUCCAGCAAUGCCGCGUGCAGGAUGAAGGCCUUCGGGUUGUAAACUGCUUUUGUACGGAACGAAACGGCUCUUUCUAAUACAAGGGGCUAAUGACGGUACCGUAAGAAUAAGCACCGGCUAACUACGUGCCAGCAGCCGCGGUAAUACGUAGGGUGCGAGCGUUAAUCGGAAUUACUGGGCGUAAAGCGUGCGCAGGCGGUUAUGUAAGACAGAUGUGAAAUCCCCGGGCUCAACCUGGGACCUGCAUUUGUGACUGCAUAGCUAGAGUACGGUAGAGGGGGAUGGAAUUCCGCGUGUAGCAGUGAAAUGCGUAGAUAUGCGGAGGAACACCGAUGGCGAAGGCAAUCCCCUGGACCUGUACUGACGCUCAUGCACGAAAGCGUGGGGAGCAAACAGGAUUAGAUACCCUGGUAGUCCACGCCCUAAACGAUGUCAACUGGUUGUUGGGUCUUCACUGACUCAGUAACGAUGCUAACGCGUGAAGUUGACCGCCUGGGGAGUACGGCCGCAAGGUUGAGACUCAAAGGAAUUGACGGGGACCCGCACAAGCGGUGGAUGAUGUGGUUUAAUUCGAUGCAACGCGAAAAACCUUACCCACCUUUGACAUGUACGGAAUUUGCCAGAGAUGGCUUAGUGCUCGAAAGAGAACCGUAACACAGGUGCUGCAUGGCUGUCGUCAGCUCGUGUCGUGAGAUGUUGGGUUAAGUCCCGCAACGAGCGCAACCCUUGUCAUUAGUUGCUACGAAAGGGCACACUAAUGAGACUGCCGGUGACAAACCGGAGGAAGGUGGGGAUGACGUCAAGUCCUCAUGGCCCUUAUAGGUGGGGCUACACACGUCAUACAAUGGCUGGUACAGAGGGUUGCCAACCCGCGAGGGGGAGCUAAUCCCAUAAAACCAGUCGUAGUCCGGAUCGCAGUCUGCAACUCGACUGCGUGAAGUCGGAAUCGCUAGUAAUCGCGGAUCAGAAUGUCGCGGUGAAUACGUUCCCGGGUCUUGUACACACCGCCCGUCACACCAUGGGAGCGGGUUCUGCCAGAAGUAGUUAGCCUAACCGCAAGGAGGGCGAUUACCACGGCAGGGUUCGUGACUGGGGUGAAGUCGUAACAAGGUA
rnacentral:rRNA from 1 species